rnacentral:rRNA from 1 species
GAUGAACGCUGGCGGCGUGCCUAAUACAUGCAAGUCGAGCGAACGGACGAGAAGCUUGCUUCUCUGAUGUUAGCGGCGGACGGGUGAGUAACACGUGGAUAACCUACCUAUAAGACUGGGAUAACUUCGGGAAACCGUAGCUAAUACCGGAUAAUAUUUUGAACCGCAUGGUUCAAAAGUGAAAGACGGUCUUGCUGUCACUUAUAGAUGGUUCCGCGCUGCAUUAGCUAGUUGGUAAGGUAACGGCUUACCAAGGCAACGAUGCAUAGCCGACCUGAGAGGGUGAUCGGCCACACUGGAACUGAGACACGGUCCAGACUCCUACGGGAGGCAGCAGUAGGGAAUCUUCCGCAAUGGGCGAAAGCCUGACGGAGCAACGCCGCGUGAGUGAUGAAGGUCUUCGGAUCGUAAAACUCUGUUAUUAGGGAAGAACAUAUGUGUAAGUAACUGUGCCCAUCUUGACGGUACCUAAUCAGAAAGCCACGGCUAACUACGUG